rnacentral:rRNA from 1 species
UGGGGAAUAUUGGACAAUGGGCGAAAGCCUGAUCCAGCAAUGCCGCGUGAGUGAUGAAGGCCUUAGGGUUGUAAAGCUCUUUUACCCGGGAAGAUAAUGACUGUACCGGGAGAAUAAGCCCCGGCUAACUCCGUGCCAGCAGCCGCGGUAAUACGGAGGGGGCUAGCGUUGUUCGGAAUUACUGGGCGUAAAGCGCACGUAGGCGGCUUUGUAAGUUAGAGGUGAAAGCCCGGGGCUCAACCCCGGAAUUGCCUUUAAGACUGCAUCGCUUGAACGUCGGAGAGGUGAGUGGAAUUCCGAGUGUAGAGGUGAAAUUCGUAGAUAUUCGGAAGAACACCAGUGGCGAAGGCGGCUCACUGGACGACUGUUGACGCUGAGGUGCGAAAGCGUGGGGAGCAAACA